GACGGAGGGUGCUAGCGUUGUUCGGAAUCACUGGGCGUAAAGGGCGCGUAGGCGGCCUUGCAAGUCGGUUGGUGAAAGCCCGGGGCUCAACCCCGGAGGUGCGGCCGAGACUGCAGGGCUGGGGGCCGGAAGAGGAGGGUGGAAUACCCAGUGUAGAGGUGAAAUUCGUAGAUAUUGGGUGGAACACCGGUGGCGAAAGCGGCUCUCUGGUCCGGACCUGACGCUGAGGCGCGAAAGCGUGGGGAGCAAACAGG
rnacentral:rRNA from 1 species